rnacentral:lncRNA from 1 species
CACUGGCCUACGCCACAGCCACAGCCACUUGGGAUCUGAGCCGCGUCUUCGACCUACACCACAGCUCACAGCAACGCCGGAUCCUUAACUCACUGAGAAAGACCAAGGAUCGAACUCGCAACCUCAUGGUUCCUAGUCGGAUUCAUUUCCACUGCGCCAUGACAAGAACUCCUAUUUGCUGGUGGAGUCCAGUUAUUAGUCUGAAGAGACAGCCCUGCCUGUUGACGUCCACAACCAGUACUGUGCUUGAGGUCUGACCUGCUGCCGUUGACCGAGGAGCUGGGGUUCCCAGAAGGUGACCGCCACAUGCAGAAGGUUCUAUGACAGCCCUUGCUUCCAAAGGGGACAAUUCUAGAUAAGCCAGGAGAUCAGAGUUUGUCUUUCUCUGUGUCAUGAACUCAUUGUCCUUUUGGGAUAAAAAAAUGCUCUUCAGUAGAAUUUCGAGAUUGAAUUUAAAUGUUCCUAGAAUCCCACCCCCACCCCCUCCUUCUCUCUCUUUUAUUUUUUGUUAUUUUUAAAGAGAAAGAGGAGUUCCCGAUUGGCUUAGCAGGUGAUGAACUGGACUAGUAUCUAGGAGGAUGCGGGUUUGAUCUGGCCUCGCUCAGUGAGUUAAGGAUCCAGCACUGCCAUGAGCUGUGAUGUAGGCUGGCAGUUGCAGCUCUGAUUUGACCCCUAGCCUGGGAACCUCCACAUGCUGCGGGUGUGGCCCUAAAAAAAGCCAGCAAUAAAUAAAUAUAAAUAAAUAAAGAGAAAGUAUCCCUCAGUCAGGUGUCUGGCCCCAGUCAGAUAUUUCUGCCCCAAAGCAUUCUGAGCUAUCGGAUUUGCCUGGUGAGGGUCUAUUGCUGCACUGAAAUAAGAAAAAAAAAAAAAAAUCAGGGAUAGAUUCACCUCCUAAUUUUUUUUAAAUUAAAGUAUAGUUGAUUUGCAAUGCUGUGCCAAUUUCUGCUGUACAGCAAAGUGAUUUCACCUCUCAAUUUAAUCUACAGGAUUACAUUCCAAACAGGGAAGUUCCUGUUGUGGCGCAGAGGAAACGAAUCCAACUAGUAUCCAUGAGGAUGUGGGUUCAAUCCCUGGCCUCGAUCCGUGGGUGGGGG